UACGUAGGUGGCAAGCGUUGUCCGGAAUUACUGGGCGUAAAGAGCGCGCAGGCGGCUGGUCACGUCCGAUGUGAAAGCUCCCGGCUUAACUGGGAAAUUGCAUCGGAGACUGAUCGGCUUGAAGGUGGGAGAGGGUAGUGGAAUUCCCGGUGUAGUGGUGAAAUGCGUAGAUAUCGGGAGGAACACCAGUGGCGAAGGCGACUACCUGGCCCACUCUUGACGCUGAGGCGCGAAAGCUAGGGGAGCGAACGGG
rnacentral:rRNA from 1 species